UGAUUGCACAUACAGCCAUGAUGUUUGCUUAGAAGCAGCCAUCAUUUAAAGAAUUCGUAAUUGCUCACUGGUCGAGUCGGCCUGCGCGGAAGAUGUAUCGGGGCUAAACCAUGCACCGAAGCUGCGGCAGCGACACUAUGUGUUGUUGGGUAGGGGAGCGUUCUGUAAGCCUUCGAAGGUGACCUGUGAGGGUUGCUGGAGGUAUCAGAAGUGCGAAUGCUGACAUAAGUAACGA
rnacentral:rRNA from 1 species